rnacentral:rRNA from 1 species
UACGUAGGGGGCGAGCGUUGUCCGGAUUCAUUGGGCGUAAAGAGCUCGUAGGCGGUUUCGUAAGUCGGGUGUGAAAACCCCAGGCUCAACCUGGGGACGCCACCUGAUACUGCGAUGACUUGAGUCUGGUAGGGGAUCACGGAAUUCCUGGUGUAGCGGUGAAAUGCGCAGAUAUCAGGAGGAACACCGGUGGCGAAGGCGGUGAUCUGGGCCAGUACUGACGCUGAGGAGCGAAAGCGUGGGUAGCAAACAGG